rnacentral:lncRNA from 1 species
UCGAGUUUAUUAAACUCUUUUUCAAUGUUUCAAUAUUCACGAGCAAAUUAUUUUAGGCAAAGCAUAUAAAUUGUUAUUAAAGGUCUACAUUUUUAAACCAUUCGUCGUGUAGACAGAAUGAUAUAAGAAAGAAAAGGGUAUGUUCCUUUACAUAAUUUAAGGACUCGAAAGUAAAUUAAUUGUUUGCUAGUAUAUGCAGAAUCUGACAUGAAACACUUAUAUAUUUCUUAUCGAAAUUGUACACAUAUGUGUUUGCCAAUCGUUCUAGUUCUAUGUUAUAAAAUGGAACAAAUAGAGUAGUCUGUGUACACUAAUAUUGAGAUAAACAUGACAACUGAUAACAUCACGACCAGUUUGUGUACAAGUUAAGCUACUAUUUCGAAAACUCGUAUCAGGUAGACUGACACUAAGGAAUUAAAUGCUUUUAAAUAUUCGCAUCGACGUUAAGUACAAGAAUGCUUAGGAAAACAGUGACAGCAUGUCUGUUUCUUUUUGUGUCUGGAGUUUUUGUCGUAACAUCAAGCGGACCAGUAAUGCAUAGGAUCAUUGAAGAAGAGGUUACUUCUCGAGACAUUGAUUUACGAAGAUUUAUACUGACAGACAAUAUGCAUGAAAGCAAGUAUAUUUUUGUACACACUAAU